rnacentral:lncRNA from 1 species
UUUAUUCUAGAUGUACUUCUGGAAUGAUGUUAUCUUCUCCAUUACAUCUUGAACAUUGGUGAUCUGAAUAUUUGUGUCCAAUUAUUUUACAAUAUCUUGUCAGUAGUCCAUCUGAAAUAAAUCCUUUUUUAAUUGCUCUUGCGGUAGAUUAUUUUUCUGGGUUAAGUAAUGUCAUUAUCCAUUGUCUGACAUCUUCCAUAUCUGCUUGUCGUAGCUCUUUUGAAUUAGAGUAAAUCAUU